rnacentral:rRNA from 1 species
CUGGAUACGAGACAUCGCAUGGUCAACGUUUGGAAAGAUUUUUUGGUUGGGGAUGGGCUCGCGGCCUAUCAGCUUGUUGGUGAGGUAAUGGCUCACCAAGGCGUCGACGGGUAGCCGGCCUGAGAGGGUGACCGGCCACACUGGGACUGAGACACGGCCCAGACUCCUACGGGAGGCAGCAGUGGGGAAUAUUGCACAAUGGGCGGAAGCCUGAUGCAGCAACGCCGCGUGAGGGAUGACGGCCUUCGGGUUGUAAACCUCUUUUAGCAAGGAAGAAGCGAAAGUGACGGUACUUGCAGAAAAAGCGCCGGCUAACUACGUGCCAGCAGCCGCGGUAAUACGUAGGGCGCAAGCGUUAUCCGGAAUUAUUGGGCGUAAAGAGCUCGUAGGCGGUUUGUCGCGUCUGCUGUGAAAUCCCGAGGCUCAACCUCGGGUCUGCAGUGGGUACGGGCAGACUAGAGUGCGGUAGGGGAGAUUGGAAUUCCUGGUGUAGCGGUGGAAUGCGCAGAUAUCAGGAGGAACACCGAUGGCGAAGGCAGAUCUCUGGGCCGUAACUGACGCUGAGGAGCGAAAGGGUGGGGAGCAAACAGGCUUAGAUACCCUGGUAGUCCACCCCGUAAACGUUGGGAACUAGUUGUGGGGUCCUUUCCACGGAUUCCGUGACGCAGCUAACGCAUUAAGUUCCCCGCCUGGGGAGUACGGCCGCAAGGCUAAAACUCAAAGGAAUUGACGGGGACCCGCACAAGCGGCGGAGCAUGCGGAUUAAUUCGAUGCAACGCGAAGAACCUUACCAAGGCUUGACAUACACGAGAACACCCUAGAAAUAGGGGACUCUUUGGACACUCGUGAACAGGUGGUGCAUGGUUGUCGUCAGCUCGUGUCGUGAGAUGUUGGGUUAAGUCCCGCAACGAGCGCAACCCUCGUUCUAUGNUUGCCAGCACGUAAUGGUGGGAACUCAUGGGAUACUNGCCGGGGUCAACUCGGAGGAAGGUGGGGAUGACGUCAAAUCAUCAUGCCCCUUAUGUCUUGGGCUU